rnacentral:rRNA from 1 species
AUUGAACGCUGGCGGCAUGCUUUACACAUGCAAGUCGAACGGUAACAGGUUAAGCUGACGAGUGGCGAACGGGUGAGUAAUGCAUCGGAACGUGCCCGAUCGUGGGGGAUAACGCAGCGAAAGCUGCGCUAAUACCGCAUACGAUCUGAGGAUGAAAGCGGGGGCCGGUAAGCCUCGGCCGGUAGGAGCGGCCCAUGUCAGAUUAGGUAGUUGGUGGGGUAAAGGCUCACCAAGCCAACGAUCUGGAGCUGGUCUGAGAGGACGACCAGCCACACUGGGACUGAGACACGGCCCAGACUCCUACGGGAGGCAGCAGUGGGGAAUUUUGGACAAUGGGCGAAAGCCUGAUCCAGCAAUGCCGCGUGCAGGAAGAAGGCCUUCGGGUUGUAAACUGCUUUUGUACGGAGCGAAAAAGCUCUCUCUAAUACAGGGGGCUCAUGACGGUACCGUAAGAAUAAGCACCGGCUAACUACGUGCCAGCCGCCGCGGUAA